UUGCCCAACUCUAUUUUCUCUUUAUUCCUCUAUCUGCAGUUUCUCAAUCUCCGAUCUUCUGUUUCUUCUCAAGCUCGAUCUAUAUAUCUCGAUUUAUUCUUUUAUUUUUCAUUUAGAUUUAGAUUUUGAUUCAUGUUAUUUAUUGGAAGCGAUGAAGAACAUCUAAAACCUAUAACACGCACUCUUCUCCAAACAUCAUCGUUGGUUUAAGAUCAUCAAGAUCUGGGUGAUAUGGGGUAACUCUCUCUUCUCUAUUAUUUAUAUCAAUUUUCCCCAAAAUUUUCAAUUAGGUUUCCAAUUUCUUGUAAUUUGGAGCUUUUUGAAUUGAUUUUGUGAACUGUGAUUUCAAUUAGGGUUCAUUUAAAGUUAACAUUUUUUACCUGCUUUAAGUGGUUUGGAGAUCUGCUUCACAUUUUUUUUUCCUUCUGUUUUGUGGUUCCACAAGUUUUCUACCAUCUGGGUGAACCAAGUUUGUUAUGAACCACUUGUUGUGGUUGGUACUAACUUGGGUGUUGGUGAUUCUAAUUCAAGUAGAUGAUUUUGUGUUUGUCAAUUUUUUGUUGUUUGUGGGUAUUAAAUGAGAUGGGAGAGAAUAUGGCUUAUUGUUUCAGAACUUCACUGGAUCUUAUUCCGAGUUGUGCAGAUGGUACUAGUUUUAGAAUUGGAGGCAGUGAUGGUGGUGAAAUUGGUAGGAUUUGUUUAAGAUUAUGGCUCUCUGGUCCUGAUGUUUAUGAUUUGUGAAUAUGCAUAACCUUUCUGACCAUUAACUUAUAAGACUGGUGUUUCUUCAACCUCAUAUUAGCAAUUCCUAUGGGUUAUAUUUCAGGUGCACCUUUAGUAUUUAACUAUGUUCUGCUUCUUUCAGUACUGAUAAUUUUUUGGCAUUGUUGUACUCCUUGUAAGUAACCUUGAAGCAGACAGAUAUGGUGUACCUGGGAAAAAGAAUGUGUUGGCUUCUUUGCCACAAGAAACGCAAAGCUUCCGGACACCUCGUUGUCCGGCCUGAGUUGGAUCUUAUGGCACAGGAAUAUCAGCUUAUACUCAUGAAUUAUUCCUCGACGAUUGGAUAGAUCUAGAGACUUGUCUAAGAACUCUUAUGGAUUGUGUUUUUUUUUUCUUCAUAAGAUCGCUAGCUCUCUUGCACGUCGCACACUCGAUCACCACUAAUUGCUAAAGGUCGCGUGACUUAUUAAUGGUAUAGUACUGCUUCAACUAAAAGCUUGAUACUGUAACUCCAAAAGACAUGGACUAUUAUGGGUGUCCUAAAUUGAAAGAUGCUUGCUAAGAAACCCAACUCUUUACCUUUAGCCAAAUAAAUGAAGCUUUCAUCUGCAUACGCAAAGCACAGGGCAUGCGUCUUUUAUCCUUCCAUUCCAUAAGCACGAGUACUAAGGGUCCUUGGGAUGGAAGAACUUAAAGUUAACUGGAGCAGAGGUAUUCAUACUUGCCCUCUUCUGUGCAAUGAAAGAGUUCAUGUAUUUAAGCUUAAAUAAACAGUAUGGGCAGGUACUUCAUGUAUUUGUAUUUCAAUUUUUUUUUUCCUUAGAGAAUCCAACAAUGAAGAGUUCAUUUUCUGUUUAAAACAUUUUGUAAGAUUCCUUGAUAUAAUGUUAAGUUAAUAGAUAUAUCCAAAUGACAGUUUUUGUUGCG